ensembl:lincRNA Gm6994 predicted gene 6994
CGCACCCUGGGGCGCCGGGGUGCUUUGACAGCUGAGCAGAGGGUCCCCUCGGAGAUCAUUGGACUCUGCAAAAGAGAAGACUGUGGUGAGUGUGUGCCUGCCUCUACAUGUGUAUGUCCCAUGUGCACGCCUGGUGCCGGAAGAGUCCAAAGCAGCAGCAGCAGAGCCCCUGGAACUGGAGCUAUGGACGGUUGGCUGUGAGCUACCACGCAGGGCAAGGGCGUACAGACAUGGGCAGGCAAGGAGGCAGGGAUCCUCUGAAGUUACACAGCCUAAGAACACGACCAGCAGGGAUGUAUCCAGGAAAAUGUAAUCACCAGAAGUUACAGCUUGCUGCAUCCAGAAGAAAUAAGAUGAUGCUGACAUUUAAAAGAUUUCUCCCACCGAGGAAACACCUGCUCUGUCCAGCACCAUUUGAAGUUCUGUACCAGCAAGCACUUCCUCCAGAGAAGGGAGGUGCAGCUAGCUUGGUUGAAGGUAAGGAUCAAAGAAUUGUAAACACCAGCUUCCUAAGUCUGAUGAUGAGCAUCACAAGUUGACAGCCAGGAGGACCGGCGUGUUACAGCCAAUGGGGAACUUCAAAAAACCGAUUAAAAGAAGAAAGAAAAGAAGUCCUUUUUUUUUUUUUUUUAAGAGAAUGCAGUUUGACCGAUACUCAGUGUACUAUUGGAUAUUUUGUAAGAUGGCCUUUGCAUCUCUGGGCCUCCUGCACCUACACCUGUGACGUGACCUUCCUGGGUUUGUGCCUCACAUACCAAGUAUUGACUGAAAUCCCUGGCUAGACCUGAUGAACACCUCCUUGUAUGUCUUAUACUUUUGGGGCUCCCUACAGCAAGUUAUUCUUCUGUGGUUGUUGUUGUUGUUUUAAUUAUUGUUAAUUUGUGUGUGUGUGCCUGUGUGUGUGUGUGUAACUGUCUGUGUAAUAAAGUAUAUAUGCAUUAUGGGUGUGCAGGAGCCCACAGAGGCCAGAAGAGGUCAUCAGAUCUCCUGGAACUUGAGUUACUGGAGCUUGUGAGCCACCACAUGGGUUCUUAAUUCUUUUUUAAGUUCCAUGAUUUUUUUUUUUUUGUAUUCUCACACAUGCAUCUUUAUCUCCAUGAAUUUUUUUUCUCAGUAUUUCCAACGCAAAAUUGUAAAUACAUUUAAAACAUUAUGACAUACUA